UUCCAGACUCCUACGGGAGGCAGCAGUAGGGAAUAUUGCUCAAUGGGGGAAACCCUGAAGCAGCAACGCCGCGUGGAGGAUGAAGGUUUUAGGAUUGUAAACUCCUUUUGUUAGAGAAGAUUAUGACGGUAUCUAACGAAUAAGCACCGGCUAACUCCGUGCCAGCAGCCGCGGUAAUACGGAGGGUGCAAGCGUUACUCGGAAUCACUGGGCGUAAAGAGCGCGUAGGCGGGAUAGCAAGUCAGAUGUGAAAUCCUAUGGCUUAACCAUAGAACUGCAUUUGAAACUGUUAUUCUAGAGUAUGGGAGAGGUAGGUGGAAUUCUUGGUGUAGGGGUAAAAUCCGUAGAGAUCAAGAGGAAUACUCAUUGCGAAGGCGGCCUGCUGGACUGCAACUGACGUUGAGGCUCGAAGGCGUGGGGAGCAAACAGGAUUAGAUACCCUCGUAA
rnacentral:rRNA from 1 species